rnacentral:rRNA from 1 species
CAGUAGCCGCGGUAAUACGUAGGUGGCAAGCGUCGUCCGGAAUUAUUGGGCGUAAAGGGCUCGCAGGCGGUUUCUUAAGUCUGAUGUGAAAGCCCCCGGCUCAACCGGGGAGGGUCAUUGGAAACUGGGAAACUUGAGUGCAGAAGAGGAGAGUGGAAUUCCACGUGUAGCGGUGAAAUGCGUAGAGAUGUGGAGGAACACCAGUGGCGAAGGCGACUCUCUGGUCUGUAACUGACGCUGAGGAGCGAAAGCGUGGGGAGCGAACACGAUUAGAUACCCCUGUAGUCCCUGUCUCUAUACA